rnacentral:rRNA from 1 species
GGCGGGCCUAACACAUGCAAGUCGAGCGAGAAAGGGACUUCGGUCCUGAGUAAAGCGGCGGACGGGUGAAUAUCGCGUAGGUAACCUGCCCUUCAGCGGGGGAUAACGGUCCGAAAGGACCGCUAAUACCGCGUACGUAUCCUGGGGCUCCGGCCCUGGGGUGGAAAGCUAGGUAGCAAUAUCUGGCACUGGAGGAGGGGCCUGCGUCGCAUCAGCUAGUUGGUGGGGUAACGGCCUACCAAGGCGAAGACGCGUAGCUGGUCUGAGAGGAUGAUCAGCCACACUGGGACUGAGACACGGCCCAGACUCCUACGGGAGGCAGCAGUGGGGAAUAUUGGACAAUGGGCGCAAGCCUGAUCCAGCCACGCCGCGUGAGUGAUGAAGGCCUUCGGGUCGUAAAGCUCUGUGGGGANGGACGAACCGCCGCUGGUUAAUACCCAGCGGCAUGACGGUACCUCCUUAACAAGCACCGGCUAACUUCGUGCCAGCAGCCGCGGUAAUACGAA